GACGAACGCUGGCGGCGCGCCUAACACAUGCAAGUCGAACGGAGUCAAGAGGAGCUUGCUUUUCUUGACUUAGUGGCGAACGGGUGAGUAACGCGUGAGUAACCUGCCCUGGAGUGGGGGACAACAGUUGGAAACGACUGCUAAUACCGCAUAAGCCCACGGAUCUGCAUGGAUCUGCGGGAAAAGGAUUUAUUCGCUCUAGGAUGGACUCGCGUCCAAUUAGCUAGUUGGUGAGGUAACGGCCCACCAAGGCGACGAUUGGUAGCCGGACUGAGAGGUUGAACGGCCACAUUGGGAAUGAGACACGGCCCAGACUCCUACGGGAGGCAGCAGUGGGGGAUAUUGCACAAUGGGGGAAACCCUGAUGCAGCGACGCCGCGUGGAGGAAGAAGGUUUUCGGAUUGUAAACUCCUGUCGUGAGGGACGAUAAUGACGGUACCUAACAAGAAAGCACCAGCUAACUACGUG
rnacentral:rRNA from 1 species